AUCUUAAAUUGGUGAUUAAUCACCCUUAGCCUUUCAUUUUUCUCAGGUUCUUGAGGCUUAUCCACUGCACUCUAAAUGUACUGACCCCUGCGAUUUCCCCAAAUUUGGGAAAUUCAACUGCAUAAUUUGUGGUCAUAGGGACUGUGUUCACGCUUUCCCCU
ensembl:snRNA U1 U1 spliceosomal RNA